GUACUCACUUUGACAGUAUAUAUACUAUAAAAAUGGAAAGAUACAAAGAAAAUUUGCACAGACCCUGCACAAGUAUGACACACAAAUUUGAGAAAAUAGUUUAAAAGUGCCU
ensembl:snRNA U6 U6 spliceosomal RNA